rnacentral:rRNA from 1 species
CAAAAACAUCUCUCCCAGUAAUUUAGAUUGGGAGUAGGCCCUGCCCUGUGAUUAAUUUUUAACGGCAACGUUAAGUUUUAAAGUAGCGUGAUAAUUUGUCCCUUAAUUAGGGUCUGGUAUGAAUGGGUUGACGUGGAAGGGCUGUCUCGGGGGUAGUUUUUGAAAUUUUCUUCCUAGUGAAAAGCCUGGGAUGAAUUUAAAAGACGAGAAGACCCCGUCGAGCUUGAUUACUUAGGUGAGUUGUCAUCUGGGUGAAGUUUUGUUGGGGCAAUAAAGGAGAAAUUAAACCUCCUGUUAUUUUUUCAUGGAUCCACUUUUGGGGAUAAAAGGAAAAAGCUACCGCGGGGAUAACAGCGCAAAACCAUCUGAUAGGCCGUAUUGAAGCUGGUGAUUGCGACCUCGAUGUUGGAUUAGGGUUUACAGCUUGGCGCAGAAGCUUAGCAAAGUGGGACUGUUCGUCCCUUAAAUCCCUACAUGAUCUGAG